GAAUUCCCUGUCAUUGUGUUGAAGGAACUACAGGAAAGGUGGUGAGGCAGCUGCCGUGUGUAUCUAGAUCUGACCCCGAUUAGAAUCUGUUUCAUCACUAGGAAAAUCACUCUCCAUGGAACACGGAAGUUUCAGCAACAAUGGCACAGGCAUAAGAGAAGAGCCAGCCGUGAGUUUAAUGGCAUCUAAGUUGUCUUUUCAAAUGAGACAGGCUCGGGCUCAAGCAGUAAUACAGUGCUGGAAAUGGCAGGGUGGAAAGUGGACUGCAUCUCAGCAAGCGUGGACUUAUUAAUCUAUUUCCACUUGGCCAAUGUCACUUCUCCCAUAGAUAUUUAGUCAUAGAAAAACUAGGCACCCAUGCUGAAAUAAUUCAAGGAAGCGGGGAUCUGCAUGACAAAGCCUUUGAAAAGAACUCAGAAGCAUGCUACAGGACAAGACUAAAGAAGGAGUUAUCACACUGGGAGCUUACUCCCAAUACUGUAACUCUUGGCAGACUUUGGAUAAUCAUCGUGAUGACAGGUGGAAAAGCUGUGUAUAUGCUCUGUGACACCAACUCAACAUAACUGUGGCCACAGCAUCCUUUCAAGUAGAAUUUCCUCGGAUUUUUCUUUAUCUACCUGCCCUCCUACCUACCUAUUUACUUUCCUACUUACCUGGUGGCCUGAAAAAAGAAACAAAGAAAGAAGAAAAACCCCAA